AAGUCGUAACAAGGUUAACUUCGUAGACACCUAUUGGAGCCUUUGUAACCCCGCGAGGGGGUGUAAUCGCGACGUUAAAUAAGGAUUGCAAGUUGAACGCUUGGGUGUUCAGCAACAUAAUCGAAUUGCGGGGAAGUCUUAAAGCUGCCUGGUACUAAACAGUAGGGGAAACUCUGCUGAAGCUUCUGAUCUCAGAUGCUAAAGUAACAAACCGCGCAGAUGCUACAAUAGAUGAUCCGCAGCGAAGUUUCUAAGGCGUCUACCGCUAUGAAAAUCGCUCACAGACUAAGUGACUAUGGGUCAGCCUGAGUCUGACUUAAGAUAUAGUCGAUCCCACAGAGAAAUCGGUGGAAGCAAUCGCUGGCGUCACGCCUGUAAUUGCCCUAAGUUCCGUAGGUGAACCUGCGGAAGGAUCAUUAUCAAUAUUAUAACGUGCCAGGACGCAAGUUCUGGGGCGGCAUAAUUACCGUGUUUAACAUACCUUCGUUGCUUUGGCGGGGCGCCUUUUGGGCCAGCGGCUCCGGUCGCUGCGUACCCGCCAGGAGGAUCCACAACUCUUGGUCUUUAGUGAUGUCUGAGUACUAUAUAAAUAGUUAAAA
rnacentral:misc_RNA from 1 species